UAAAGAUUCAUCGGCUGCGGAUGGCCAUGCGGCGCAUUAGCUAGUCGGCGGGGUAACGGCCCACCGAGGCGACGAUGCGUAGGGGUUCUGAGAGGAAGGUCCCCCACACUGGUACUGAGACACGGACCAGACUCCUACGGGAGGCAGCAGUGAGGAAUAUUGGUCAAUGGCCGGGAGGCUGAACCAGCCAAGUCGCGUGAGGGAAGACGGCCCUACGGGUUGUAAACCUCUUUUGUCAGGGAGCAAGGGGCGGGUCGAGACCUGCUGUGAGAGUACCUGAAGAAAAAGCAUCGGCUAACUCCGUGCCAGCAGCCGCGGUAAUACGGAGGAUGCGAGCGUUAUCCGGAUUUAUUGGGUUUAAAGGGUGCGCAGGCGGAGGCACAAGUCAGCGGUAAAAUCGCGGGGCUCAACCCCGCUCCGCCGUUGAAACUGUGUCCCUUGAGUGCGCGAAGGGUAGGCGGAAUGCGUGGUGUAGCGGUGAAAUGCAUAGAUAUCACGCAGAACUCCGAUCGCGAAGGCAGCCUACCGGCGCGCGACUGACGCUCAUGCACGAAAGCGUGGGUAUCGAACAGGAUUAGAUACCCUGGUAGUCCACGCAGUAAACGAUGAAUGCUAUCUGUCCGGCCGGAAUGACGGCUGG
rnacentral:rRNA from 1 species